rnacentral:rRNA from 1 species
GACGAACGCUGGCGGCGUGCUUAACACAUGCAAGUCGAACGGAAAGGCCCUGCUUUUGUGGGGUGCUCGAGUGGCGAACGGGUGAGUAACACGUGAGUAACCUGCCUUUGACUUUGGGAUAACUUCAGGAAACUGGGGCUAAUACCGGAUAGGAGCUCCUGCUGCAUGGUGGGGGUUGGAAAGUUUCGGCGGUUGGGGAUGGACUCGCGGCUUAUCAGCUUGUUGGUGGGGUAGUGGCUUACCAAGGCUUUGACGGGUAGCCGGCCUGAGAGGGUGACCGGCCACAUUGGGACUGCGAUACGGCCCAGACUCCUACGGGAGGCAGCAGUGGGGAAUAUUGCACAAUGGGCGGAAGCCUGAUGCAGCAACGCCGCGUGCGGGAUGACGGCCUUCGGGUUGUAAACCGCUUUCGCCUGUGACGAAGCGUGAGUGACGGUAAUGGGUAAAGAAGCACCGGCUAACUACGUG